rnacentral:rRNA from 1 species
AUACGUAGGGGGCAAGCGUUACCCGGAUUUACUGGGUGUAAAGGGAGCGUAGACGGAAGGCCAAGUCUGAUGUGAAAGCCCGCGGCUCAACUGCGGGACUGCAUUGGAAACUGGUCAUCUGGAGUGCAGGAGGGGUAAGCGGAAUUCCUAGUGUAGCGGUGAAAUGCGUAGAUAUUAGGAGGAACACCGGUGGCGAAGGCGGCUUACUGGACCGUAACUGACGUUGAGGCUCGAAGGCGUGGGGAGCAAACAGGAUUAGAUACCCUGGUAGUCCACGCGGUAAACGAGGAUCACUAGGUGUCCGUGGGUAUGACCCAUGGGUGCCGCAGCCAACGCAAUAAGUGAUCCACCUGGGGAGUACGUUCGCAAGAAUGAAACUCAAAGGAAUUGACGGGG